rnacentral:lncRNA from 1 species
GGAAGAUUGAGCAUCUGGUGGAAGCCCAAGGCUGUUUCUGCUCAUGGCGGAAGGUGCAGGGGAGCUGGCACGUGCAGAGAUCACACAGUGAGAGAGGAAGCAAGACAGAGAGAUGCCCCAGCAUAGGAUGCCCUGUCAGUACCCCAGAGAUCAUGAUCCUAGGAAGAAGAAACUCACUGUCUGCCAUUGCCUCCACCUCCCUUGACUUACUCGCUCCAGGCCACCAGACUCUAGACUUGACCUUUAAUUGCAGAAGGACAUCUCCCUGCUGCAGCCAGUCGAUCAGAGAUCUUGGCUCUAAUCUCCACGCAUGUAUUGUCUCCACUCUGUCACUGCAUCAUUCAA